rnacentral:lncRNA from 1 species
AAAAAAAAAAAAAAUAACGUACCAAGAACAUUAAUUCACUACACAAUCCUAUCCUAUUUCUUAUUUAAGACGUAGAUGGGAACAGUGGGUUUGGUUUUAUAUCUAUAGAGAACCUUCUUCUUCUUGAGCAAGGGGUUAUCAAAGGUUAUAACUAUCUUCCCUGGUUCACUAAUAUAAAAUGAAUUCCUAACACCCUCUCCUUUCUUCUUUUCCUUCUCGUUUUGGAGCAGCACUUUGUACGACCCUUCAUCGUCUGGAAUGAACUCUUCCUUGUAGGAUACAUCACAUGAUCCCACCACUGUUAAAUCCCAAACCAUUGUCACUCCAGCCUGAUAUAAAUCACAUACAUACAUUGGUUAGUUUUUUCUAGCUGGGUUUUUUUUGGUAUAUUGGAGGGUUUGGGUCAUUGUAUUUGUACCUGAGGAGCUGGAAUUCGGAUGUGCUCAAAUGCAUUUGCUCUAACCGUAACCUCUGAAACCUUGUCUUCUGGGGAAAAGUCGUCGUCGUUAUCUCUUUUGAAACCUCCAUAUUCAACUGGAAGGUUUUCUGGGGGUAUAAACCUAGUUUCCAGACAAAGAUGGAUUAAAAGGAGAAACAAGCUGUAAAUAUUUGUUACUGAAUAGAUUAUAAGAUUUCUUACUUGAGAAGAGUGGAAGUAACUUUCCCUGGUCUGGCAAUAACAAUCUUGCUUUUCUUUCUCUGAGUUUUCAGCCGGGAAGAAAACGUAUGGGAGAUAUAAUACCACAAGGGAACAUUUAUGAUUAUCUGCAAUUAUCUCAAUGGUUAAGAUAUGGAGCAAUGAUCAAUUAAUCAAAACGUACGUACGUACGUACGUACGUAUGUAUGUAUGUAUGUAUGUAUGUAUGUAUGUACGUAUGUAUGUAUUAUGUGGUUUUACAUUUAGAUGGAUGAGGUGAGGAUAAUGAUCUUGAAACAACUUCCAAGAUUUUCGACAAACAGAACGAAGUUCCUUUGUGGUAGGCCCUUGUGCAUGCUUCAUAUCUAUGAUCUGAACAAUGGAGUUGGUUCCACCGGGUUGAAACCUGAUUUCCUUGAUAGCCUUCUCCAUGUAUUGAACUCUCCAUCUCAAGAACUUUUCGCGCUUCUCUUCUGAACCAAGUAUUCUAUAUUGGGUUUGCUGGUCUUUCAAGGCACCGUAUACGUUGUAAUACACAGGGUGACCGUCCUUGUCUCUACUGUUUUGAUAAGUCAAGUUUUCGAAACCAGGAACCAGAAUUUCUUCCAGGAUUUCAUCGGCUUUGAAUUCCUUCCGCCAUUUUAACGUCCUCUGAAGCAUCUCCAAGGCCUCAAGCACCUUGUAAUCUUUUGCUUCCAAGAAUUUCAACAGCACAAUGUCGGUUCCUCCAUGGCGUUUGCUUGGCAUCAAUGGUACACCCCAAAGUGUAAUCUCUUUCAGUUGUUCAAUGGCCUUUGCGUUGUCUUCUCCACCAACUUUGUUGCUUGGUUUCCCAAAGAGAUAAUCCCCAAGAAUCGCAUCUUCAACUCGGCACCUAAAUUCAACCAAGGCCUUGAAUUUCCUUUCCUUCAUUCUCAUUGCAACAUUCAGUCUAUCUUCUCUAACGGAUGGAGGUUCUUCAAAGGUUUCCUCAUCGGUUUCUUGGUCGGAGUUGGUUUGACUUGGACACCCUUUCUCAUGGCCCUCUUGAACUUGGAGGGCAAUCUCAUAAUCAAAUAGAUUAGCCAUGUUUUGAUCCUGAACCUUGCCACUUUCUUUUGCUUUGUUGAUGUUUUCUCUUUUCUUCCCCAUUUCUAACGUUCUUCUGGUUAGGGGCUAUUCCUUGAAAGAAUAUUCGGAAUCUGGAUGGAAACUGAAUCCCUAAAGGUUAAGAGAUUCAUUGAAGAGGGAUAAAUAGAGAGAUGUGGUAACAGCUGAUUAACAGGCGCCAAAUUUAGGGCGAGAGAAAAAGCAUGAGCCCAUUUGUUUGAUUGCCAGGUUUGCACACGCUUGAAAUAGGUUCUUUUUGGGUAUAAAAAAAAUGUUGUCUCUUUUGGACCAAUUAACAUGACUUGUUUAAUAGAGUGAUUGUUUUGUUAGAAAAAGAAAUGGGGAUUUUGUAUGCCACAAUAUAGAUAACAGUUGAACAACAAUUGAACAUAAUAAGUAAAUUUAUCAAAAACCAUAAUUAUAUAUAGCAUUUGCGGAUGAAAUUGAAACAAGACAUGCCCAUACAUAUACAUAAAGUUAAAAACGCCCAUGAUACACCCUUAUCCAGUAAUAAUAAAUGCAGUGCAAGUGUGCCUAUGUUUGUGUUUUGAGGGUAAUGAAAUAAAAACAAUGACAAAUGCAAUCCAAUACGAACUUUAUAUAUGUUUUUAUAUUAGAAAGCAUGUAAAUUACACGACCUGAUAAACUAGUAUGCAUUGGGACUGGACUACUACGUAAUCUUAUUCAAUACUUACAAUAAGUCAACCAUAAAGUUACCAGCACAAAAGUCGUGCAUUGGAAAUUAAAACCAAGGAAACGCUCUAAACUCCUUAAUUCUCAAUCGUGUUUUAUUGUUACUGCUGGUUCAUAAGUGUCUACUUUGUCGGAAGCACUUAUCUUGGUUUCUUUAUGGGUCGAGGGAGAAGCUGUUGUCUUGGUUUCAUCAUGUGUUGAAGGGGAAUCACUGAUCGUAUUUUCGUUACAGGUCUCAACUGGAACAGUGGCAUUAGCUGCAGUGGUGCCAGAGUUUUCAGUAUGCUGUCUUCCAGACAUUGAGCCGGCUUCCAGUUCCUCGAAUUUGGAGAUGACCUGUUGAAGCUCAUCAUUCAGAUUCAGUGCCUCGAAGAGAAUUCCAUCAUCAUCAGUAGUGCCUUCUAUGAUCAUCUGAAUAACAGGCUGGGAUUGCUUGCACUUCUCCAACAUGCUCUUUGUCAACUCGUCCUGCAACCAAAAACUUUUCUCAGUUUUUUUUUUUCAUUUGUUAUAUCAUUCCAAUUUGGAAAAGGGUUUGCAUUCCGGAAGAAUGCAUUUAAUAGAUUCCUCGACUUGGAAGAUAUUAUGCGGAAAAAUUACAUUGGAAGAACAACAAGCUUCAUGAUGCAGAUAAUAAUAGCAUUCUGAAAAAUAUAAUAAAAACUAAAUUGCAGUAACAUUUCAUUUCCUGGCAUGCCAAAGGAUCAAAGGCACUAGAUCAGGUAAAAGUUAAAUGAAUUAAGGAAAUAAAAUCGCCAAUUGAAGUAACAAUAAAUGUUCUAGUUUCAAAUGACUACAUAAUAUAUAUGGGUGGAUUUGCAGCAAGGUCUGAAAUACAGAAAACAAAGUACAUACAGUUAAAUCAUGUUUUCAGCUAAAAACAGAUUAAUUACCAUUGUGGGUUUCGGCUCGGUUUCCUUAACCAACAUGCUAGAAAGCACCUCAAGGCUGUUCCGAGUUACUUCGAAAACUCCCUUCUUUUGCUCAACAGAAAGAUUCCCAUAGUUGUAGGCAAAAUCACUGGCAUGCAAUUCUGGGUCAUUGACAGGAUAAUCUUCAGAGGGAGGCAAUCUCAUACAAGACUCCAAGGAAUACUGCAAAGGGCCUGAUUUCCCGUUACCUACUGGUACAUGUGUACUCCUUUCUUUCAAGCUCUGCUUUAUGUCAAGAUAGGAGAAAAAGUUAAAACAAAAACUAACGACAGGUUUCAUUGUUGCUAAACAUAUUUUUGAAAAAACACCCAUAGAAUUUUCCUAGGCAUAAUCAUAAAUCAGUAUGUUGAUAGAUUACAAUGAUAUAGGAUGAUAGAUUACAAUGAAGAAACUACAAAUGCUAUUGCCCAUUGAUUGACAUCAAAACACUGCCUAAACCAACAUAACAUGAAACACGGAAACGUAAGAAGAACACGAAAUCAAAGUGAAAAUUUGUUUUUUUCUUUUUACCUCAUAAGUUUGGUGAAACACAGGGAGGUAAGCAAGAUCCUGAGAUUGUCCCCAAGCACGAAUCAACUGCAAGGCCCUUCCUCUAUUCCCGUGAUCAGUGUUGGGAUUCUCAAUCAUCUUCAUCAUCUCUUCCAAAACUUUCUCGGAAGCCACCUCGGAAGCUACCUUCUCGCAAUUGGUGGUACAAGCUUCCAACAAAUCGAGGCUCAACCAUUGGGUGACGGCGUUUUUGCCCGAAAUCUUCUUCUUGAUGGCCCUAACAAUUUCGGUCCCAUUGAACUCUUCGCUGUUGAUCAUAGCACAUAUCUUCAUGUUCAAUCCCCAGUUGGGUUCUUCUAAUGUCUCAGAAGUGGCCUCAUCGACGACUUUCCACUCGGAUGUGGGGCCUUGAAGAAUUUCCUUCAUUUUCCCACUAACCAUUCUACUCAUUUGAGCUCCACCCGUUCUCAGUUUCUCGCCCCAUUCAGAGAGUUUCGCUUUAUCCAUACCUCCUUGUUUGCGUUACUAACCAAACCAGAUCUCCACUUGAUUUGAAGCUAAACGAAGAAAAAUACCCUAAAUUGAAAUAAAUCGACUAGGUUAAAAAAAUUUGCCCCAAGUAAAGCACGACGUUGUUUAUAAGCAGAGACGAUAGAGAAAAUGGGCAACUUGAAAACAUCGUAGCAUAAACAUUAAAUAAAAAGAAAAAGAGAAUAUCUGAGAGCUGAGUUACGGUAAGAGAGGGACUGAGUUGGAAUCGGUCAUUUGCUUAGCGAAAAGAGAGAGAGAGAGAGACGAUGAGGAGGAGAAUCGUCCGAGUCUAAGAUACGCGUGUCUCGUCUAGCGACCUUGUGUUUCCUGGGCCCGCUAGGAUGGGUCCUUUUCAAAUAAGUCGUACAUCGGCUCACGUGUGUCAGGUUUUUUCCAUUGUUUAUUUAGGAAACUUGUAUGAAUAUAUUGAUUUUCUUUUUUUUUUUUAAAUUCAAAGAUAUUGGUGGGGUAGAGGUGUUCGGUAGGCUGAAUUUGUGCUGAGCCUAGAUAUAAUGUUAAAUUUAAGUUGAAUUCUUUAUAUUAUUUUAAAACUUUUAUAUAUUUUUAUUUAUUAAUUUUUUAUAUAUUUACAUUAACAUUUUUUUAAUGUUAUAUUAUAAUAAUAUAUAAUAUUAUUAUGGAUUUAAUUUUUAUGUAUUAUAAAUUAUAUAAUAUAAAAUAUUAUAAAAUUAAAAACAAGUCAGGCUACUAUAUUUUAAAUAGGCUUAAUUUUUUUAUUUAUUAAAUGUAAUAUUUUUUUUAAAUCCUCUCAAAUUUUUUGUGAGCCUUCGGACUUAAGCGACUAGCCUACCCCAUAAACAAGUAUAUGAUAAAGUAGUUUGCAUAGUAACACCCUAAAUUAAUUAUUGAAUCAUCGAUCACAUGUACCAUAAACCUAAAUGAACUACUCAUUAGUCGACUUACUGCCAUGUCAGAUAAGCGACUGUUAAGUAGUCGGUUUUAGGCUUUUAAUGGUGAAAUGUUGGGACCUUAAAAUCGACCAGCCAAUAUCUAUUUUAAGUUUAAUGUAACAGUAUUGGCUCAAUCAAUACUAGUGGGUCUAAAAAAAUAACUUUAAGCGGCAGAGUAAAAUUCGAUUUGAUUUUAAAAAGUUGAUAAAAAUUUUAAAUUUUAAAUUAAAUAGUUUAAGGUAUUUGAGUUAAUUGAAUUAUUCGGAUCAACUCGAAUAAAAAAUCAAUUUUUUUAGUUUAACUCGAAUAUAAAUUACACAAUUUGAGUUAUUCGAAAAUUUGAAUAAGAAAAUAUAAAAUUACGUCGUUUUCAUAAAUAUUUAUCUUUUCUAAAGUUAAAAGUCAAAACUAUUAAAUUAAAAGGCAAAACUAUGUCGUUUUGAUAAAUGUUUACUCGUUAGCGUUACUUAUGUAGUUAAAUAAUUUUGUAUUUCAUCUACUAGUUAAAUAAUCAGUCUAUGUAAACACAACAUUGAGUAUAAAUAAUAUGAUUCGUUAACUAAACUCGACUUGACUUGAAAUUUUUCGACUCAAUUCGAAAAAAAAUUUUAUUUAUUAAAUGUAAUAUUUUUUUUAAAUCCUCUCAAAUUUUUUGUGAGCCUUCGGACUUAAGCGACUAACCUACCCCAUAAACAAGUAUAUGAUAAAGUAGUUUGCAUAGUAACACCCUAAAUUAAUUAUUGAAUCAUCAAUCACAUGUACCAUAAACCUAAAUGGACUACUCAUUAGUCGACUUACUGCCAUGUCAGAUAAGCGACUAUUAAGUAGUCGGUUUUAGGCUUUUAAUGGUGAAAUGUUGGGACCGUAAAAUCGACCAGCCAAUAUCUAUUUUAAGUUUAAUGUAACAGUAUUGGCUCAAUCAAUACUGGUGGGUCUAAAAAAAUAACUUUAAGCGGCAGAGUAAAAUUCGAUUUGAUUCAAAAAAGUUGAUAAAAAUUUUAAAUUUUAAAUUAAAUAGUUUAAGGUAUUUGAGUUAAUUGAAUUAUUCGGAUCAACUCGAAUAAAAAAAUCAAUUUUUUUAGUUUAACUCGAAUAUAAAUUACACAAUUUGAGUUAUUCGAAAAUUUGAAUAAGAAAAUAUAAAAUUACGUCGUUUUGAUAAAUAUUUAUCUUUUCUAAAGUUAAAAGUCAAAACUAUUAAAUUAAAAGGCAAAACUAUGUCGUUUUGAUAAAUGUUUACCCGUUAGCGUUACUUAUGUAGUUAAAUAAUUUUGUAUUUCAUCUACUAGUUAAAUAAUCAGUCUAUGUAAAUACAACAUUGAGUAUAAAUAAUAUGAUUCGUUAACUCAACUCGACUUGACUUGAAAUUUUUCGACUCAAUUCGAAAAAUUUUCAAAUUGAGUUUGGUUCUUAAAAUAGGAUUCAUCAACUCGACAAACUCAAAUUUUUUUAACUUAAUUCGACUUGACUCGACCAAAUGCUCACUCCUACUUAUUUCCGCUUCACCCUUUAAAAUCUACCCCUAAGUUGUAUAAACCCUCCUCUACUCCACUUCAAAACAUAUAGAGAGUUCUGAAUUAUUUGGGGUCCACAACACUACUGCACCUACUUUUACAAUCCUGAUUUUAUUUUUUAAGUAUUUAUUUAACUUUCAGAAUAUUAAAUAAGUAUUGUUAUUUUUUUAUGAAAUAAAAAAUUAUAUUAUAUUAUAUUAUAUUAUAUUAAGGGCCUUUAUGGAUAUGUGUUUACCUUUAGUGCAGUGUGUUAACUUUCUUUUUAUUUCACACUACAAUAUCGCUAAAGUAUAUAGUAUCACUGCCACCAUUGUUUUUACACCAACAGCAGGUAAACGCACCGCCCAUCCAAAAGGACCCUAAGUAUUGUUAAUAUAUAUUAAUUUAUUGCUUUUUUUUUUGCAAGUUUAAGGUUCAAAUAUGGAUAAAUAAUUCUUUGUAAACAGUCUAUUAUAAUAAAGAAAUUCAUGAAAUUGAAGUCAUUGUUAUUUUUCAAUCAAGACAUCAAAUACGUAUAUGUUUCAAUACAACUGUCAAACUUGAUGAAUUAAUGUCAAGGAUCAAUUAAAAAAUCAUAGCUCAAUGUAGGAGGAUAUUGUUUAGACUGGUGCAUAGAUUUAAAAUGUCAUUUAAGCCACUCAUUUAUAACACGCUUGAACUUUAUGAUGAUGACGAUGUUGAGACUAUGAUAUCAACCCAUUUUUCAACGGAAAAUGAUGCAACAAAGUUGUAGCUGAAUUGUAUGAUGCUGAGCAAGAUUGUGGAGUAGGUGAUAUUCCAAGUUCAUCCAUGCUUGUCAUUAAUAUUUCUCCAACUAUAUGUGAACUAUAUGAGGGGGGAACCUGUAUACAAAGUUGUCAUAUGCGCCAAUGGGAAGAUGAUCGUUUAUAUAAGGGUUGGAUCCUGACCCAAACGAAGCUUUGGACGAUUUGUACCAAUAUGUUGCACCAUAAAAAUCGUUGAUGCUUAUUAAUUCGAACAUGGAUGACGAGCAAUACAAAUUUUUAAACGAAGAAGAAUAUAUUAAUGACUUUAGUGAUCUUCAAAUUAAAGGUGUUCCCAAUGCCAACAUUAAUAAAGAGGAGGAGGGGGAAGAAGAAAAAGAAUAAGAAGAAGAUGAUGAUUUUGACAAUAAUGCCAACGACAAUACUGCUGCAAACUUGCUAGAAGCUUAAAGAGAUCGUAUCAUUCUUCAUCUCCAUGGACCUCCAUCCCAUACGCACAACAUUAACAUAAAUGAAAUCGAGGCCUUGAAAUUUCCAGAAUAUCCCGGCAUAGUGCUAAGUUAUAUGAUGAGUUCAGCUACAAAUUGCGAAUAUCUAUAUGUAGAGGCAUAAUUUCCAUUAACGUAUGCAGUUGUGGCAGCCAUCAAACACUACAACAUCAAAGCUUGUGUUGAUUAUAAAAUUGAGGUAUCUUCACCGACUUUGUGUGUUGGGCAAGUGCUGGAAGUACAAUAAUGGGUAUAAUUGGAGAGUUAGGGUUGUGUUAAGGAAGAGGACACAAAUUUGGGAGAUCCGAAAAUGGAAUGGAUCACACACUUGCACUUUUUCUUGACUUUCACAAGAUCACCGAAAAUUAGAUUUAGACUUAAUUUGCAAUUACAUUAUGCCGUUGGUGAAGGCAAGCCCGACUAUUCCAGUUGUUGUUCCAAUCGCUGACAUGCAAUCUCAAUAUAAUUACACUGUCAGUUAUCAUAAAGCUUGGUAUGCAAAACAAAAGGCCAUUUAUUGAUUAUAUGAAAAUUGGGACAAUUCUUAUAACGAGUUGCAGUCAUGGUUAGCAACAAUGCAACAAUUUACACUAGGUGUCGUGGUGGAAUUGCAAACCUUCGAUGGAUAUGAUCCAUCUAGUCAACUAGUUAAGGGCACAAAAAUACUCGACAGAUUAUAUUGGACAUAAAGCGUGACCAAUUGUAAGCUUGUUGUCCAAAUAAACGGGACUUGGAUGUAAGGUAAGUAUAUGCAAUCUUUCUAAUUGUUGUUGCUUAAGACACAAAUUGAAACACCAUUCUGAUAACAUUUGCGAUCAUGGAGAAAAAUAACAUGAAGUCCUGACAUUUUUUUUCUUACAAACUUAAGACGAUAUGUUAUUAAGGAGCGUAUAUAUGCUUGAUAUUUGAUCGAGCCAAAUCAAUUAGUGCAACAAUAAGGCUUUUUGGAGUUCAAAGAAGCCCUCCCAAUGCUUACCCAACUUACUACAUUCGUCAUAUUACAUGUAAUUUUAUGGUGGAGUUCCAUAAUGCCAAGCUACAGAAAGAAAUUAUUAACAUAGGUACAUACCGGAUGCAUUAGUUCUUUUACAUGUAUAAAUAUCAAUUCUAAUGUUAACAAUACCUAAACUUAAAUAGGAUACGAACUUUAAAGAUUGGAGAGAUUACAUGUAUAUAUAUAUAUUUGAUGAAGUACUAUAUUAUUUAUAUCUACUAUGGGUACAAUUUCCUCAAAAUAUAAAUAAAUAAUAUUAUAUUUUGUACUUUUUCAUAAUACAUAAAAAUGUGUUUGAUGAUCAAAUUGAUAGAAUUUAUAAAUGUGGAGGGUUAAAUUUAUUAAAUUAUUUAGAAUUAUGAUCAAAUUAAUAGAAUGUGUAAGUAUUGAUGACUAGAUGUGUUCCUAUACCAAUUAGAAAAAGCCACAUCAUUAUUUCCAUUAACCAUUUAACGGAAAGCGACCAAAAUAUAAUCAAUCUAAAACAUCAGUGACAAAAUUAGAACUUUUUAUAGUUUAAUGACCAAAACAAAAACACGCUAAUAAUGGGGCGACUAAUUGUAUAAUUACUCUUCAUUAUAAUAGUUAAGUUUGCUGUAAAAUUGAAUUUUUAUAUUUUAUAUUUUAUCUUCUAUAACAACUUUUCAUCUAUAACAUCAAUAAUAACUACGAAGAAUGAAAUUAGUUGAGAUAUCUAUAACAAAAUUUCACUUAUAACAUUAAUACUCUUUAAUGAGUUAGGUUUUUAUAAUAACCUAUUGUCUCAAAUUUGUGUAAAAUUAAUUGUUUUUCUGAAUAAAAUAAAUAUAAUAAACUUUAAUUAAGUUAUUAUUGUAAUAAAAUAUUUAAAAAUUAUAUAAAAAUAUAUUAAUCAAAUUUAAUUAAAUAAAAAUAAUAUUUAAUAAAUGAAACAACAUUUGUAAAUCUUAAUAAAGAUAUUGACUAAAUCUCACAAAUUAAUAAUAUUAUUAAUAUAUUAUAAAUUUGAAAUUUGAGAAAUUAAAAUAUAAUUUAAAUCUCUUAUAAUUGUGUUAAAUGUUAUUAUAAGUGUAUAAUAGUAAUCUCUAUAACAUAUCUAAUAUAUUGACAGGUAAAUAGAAUGAAGUAGAGAGAUUGAUGGAACAUAAAGUAGAGUUAUUACUGUGUAAGCAAGUCUUUAUUAAUGGUUUAUUAUAAAGUUAAAAUAUGUUACAGUUGUAUGUGCUCUUUUCAAAAUUUUAAACUUUAUUCUCUAUAUCUUUAUUUCAUACAAUUUAAUUCUUCUAGUUUUCAAAUUUUAAAGUAUAUAUUAAAUUACUAACACAGUUAAAUCUUUUAUCAAAUUAGUUGGUGUGACAUUUUAAAAUUAAAAAAUCACUUGGUAGCAAUAUAACUUAAAAAAUGACGUUGCAAUGAACUUGAAUUUAACAAAAUAAUUUUAAUAGUAUUAACAAUUAGACCUAAGUUUUAAAAAUUGAAAAGUAAAGGGGCUCAAUUUUAGAAAUAAAAGAAUAAGGACUAAAUAUCAAAAUUAGAAAAAGUACAGUGACUGUUUGCAGAUUUUAACCUUAUUAUAAUUUCCAAGAAAGGGAAAAAAGAAAAACAGAAAAACCUCGGUUUACUUCAAAGUACAUAAACCCUGCGAGGUGAAUGCAAGAGCGCCACAAAAAACGCUUUCUUUUGGAGCUUCACCAGAAUCCCCCCAAACCCAUGUCGCACGCACUUCAUCUUGUUUCCAAUAACGUUCCUGGUAAAUUUCUCUUCCUUUGCAUCUUAUUUUCUUGGGAGAUUUUAAUUCAAUUUCCUUUGUUUUCUGUUUGGUUGCCAAGAAACCAUGAGAAAUGAAAUGAGAGGAAAGGAAAUGUUUGCUCUAUUAGGUUGAGGAUGGGUAUUUAUAUACAUACAUAUCCCAUUUUUGUUAAACAUAGCUGCGCUCUAGAGGUUUCGUACUCUGUUGUUAACUUAUCCAGACUGCCCUCCUUUUAAAAAAAGAAACUGUUUAAUCCAUACUAAUCUUAUAUUAUUUUGACCAUUCAUCCUGGUUUUUCUAAAAUAUUUGAAGAUUAUUCAGUUUUACAUGUUAAAUAUAUUUAGGUAUGGGAGGUUGUUUAAUUGUGUUAUGCUUUCUUCUUUUCUUUUAUUUUUGGGAAAAAUAUGUUAUAGAAUAAUGCUUUUGAUUGUAGCAUCACCAGUCAGUAGUUUUCAUAGUUAGAGCAGGCGAGAGUCCUGCAAAAGGGUUAAAUGGUCUUUGAGUUUUCUCAGACUCAGUGAUGGCACACACAGUGAAUACUUAAUAGCUGAUAGAGGGAAGUUGAGGACAUUGUGCAUCCAUACAACCUUUAGACGAAUGCAGAGGCGGUUGGGAAGAGGAAACUAAGCCUUAUCUGCCAUUUAUAUUUGCCCCAAUAAGUAGAAACUUCGAUGUAUGUUUAGUAGGCAAUGCUUAUAUAUGUUUGAGAGAAACUUCGUUUUCAUUUUUUCCUGUUUAAGUGAUUUAAACUUUGGGACGAUUGAUGUUGAUUGUGGGAUUCACCUAAGGGAGCUAUGAGACUAGAUUGUCAAAUCGUCAGUUUGUGUAAUUUAUUGACUAUUUUUUAUUUGGGUUUCUGGUAAGUGUCAUGGGUGAAGAAAUAGGCUAUAAAAGAUCUUGCUUCUUAAAUGGUUAUCUUCUUAAAUUUGUCUCUGAGUACUGAUAUUAUUGUAGGUUAUGGACCAGCAGACUGCAGAUAUCGCUCCUGCUCAGGUAUUUCUGGAAGAGCCUUGACAUUAUCUCCUUGCUCUUCAUAUAGCGAACGCAGAAUUUGUUCGCUGGUGAAGAUGAGAUCUUCAAAAUGUGGUUCCAGGGGAAUACCUUUUGCAUGCAAAGCAAGUUCUGGUGGUCAUAGGAGGAGCCCUGACUUCUCAAGGCAAAGACAUGGGUUGCAAGGUAGGAAUAGGCAAAAUGAAGACAAAUAUAGUUUUGAAAAUCUUGAUGAAUCUGAAAUGUUAUCUUCGAAAAAUGGGCCAGUUCUCUCGCUAUCCGGUUCGACAAAUUUUCAAGCUACAGCAGCCCCAUCUCCAAGGGAGAAGGAGAUUGUGGAGCUUUUCAAGAAGGUCCAAGCUAAACUUCGAGAAAGAGCAGCUGCUAAAGAAGAUAAGAGAGCUGAAGCCUUACAAAGAAAAAGCAAUGAGAGUGAAACAGUUGAUUCGCUCCUUAAACUGUUGAGGAAACACUCAGUCGAACAAGGAAAGAAAAAUGACGGCAUUGGCAACAGCAGCGACCUGCAUUUGGAUCAUCCGGAAGUGAAUGACUCUUCCAUUGAAGAUAAAAGCUCCAGCUUCUUUGAUUCUAAUGUUAGAGUGAAGACCGAGGACAAAAAAACUUAUGCCCCUACUUUAAGUAGACCAGCAUCAAAUUUUCGACGCAAGUCACCUGUUCUGCGAACAAAAUAUCAGCAAGUUUAUUCCAGUGAGGAGACCAUAAAUUCAGACAGAAAUUUGAGUUUGGUUGAGUCACCUGCUGCGCCUGAUGACUUGCCGGAACUAGAGUCUGAAUCUGAGCCUGAGUCAAUCUAUCAAGAACCUAACAUGUUGGAUGAGUUGUCAGAGAGCAAAUCUACGGAUGUUGGUACAGAUGAGAGUGAACGGCAGGUUGAACACGAAGAUCUCAGUGCAUUGAAGGUACAAGAACUAAGGGCACUUGCAAAAUCUCGGGGUUUGAAAGGAUUCUCCAAAAUGAAGAAGAGCGAGUUGGUGGUCCUGCUGAGUUAGUUCACGAUGAAGCUACCAAAAACGAAAGAUGACUUGCAUUUUGAUAGCUGUGAGAUGCUGGUUUUUAAACUUUUAAUACCACUUACAUUUUAUUUAUCAUUGGGAGAUGGGAAACCAUGGAUGUUUAGAUAUUCAGUCAUUAAAGAAAUCAAUCUUCUUUAACAUUAUAUUAUAUUAACAAAGCGCAAGUACUCAUUUUUUAAAAUUCUAAAACAGGCGAGUUUUGUAUAUUACCUGAUUACACAAAAUGUUAUCUAAUCUGGUUAAUAUAAAAGUUGUAAUAAUUUAUAUAAUUAAAUAAUAUUUUAAGUUGUAAUAAUCUUUUUUUUGGUUUAUGUUUUUAUAUUAGUAAAAUUAUAAACAUUAUUUAAAUUUUUUAUAUUGUUCGUUAUCCUCCAAUACAGUCUUUAUCACUGUUGACAUUUUCUUUAAAUUUUUUUAUCAAUAAUUAUUAAUUGAGUAAUAUGCAAUUUCUUUUAUUAAAAUCGUAUACUUUUUAAACGAUAACUAUUAAAUAAACAAUCUUUUACAUUUUUAUUAAUUUUAGUUUAAUAUUACGAAAAUGUGAUGGAAUUGAACAUGGAUCCACUUGGCUGUUUAGGUGUGGCUAUUCUCACCGUAUCAAUCUGACAAAUUAUCUUCCCUCAACUCGCUGUUUCCCUUUGUCUUCCAAUUAAUACAAUGCAAUAUUUACAACUUCUUUAGAAGUUUCCUCCUACAAAUCUUCACCACUACCACCCGCUUUCGCUUCCUUCAAACCUCUGGUGCACUUCUUGUUUUUGCUUCAAAAAUAUUUGUGGGUAAAAGCUUAUAGAUGGGUCAGAAACUUGAUACGAUGCGCCAAAAGCAAUCAAAAGACGAGUUGCUUUAUCAGGCUGCAAUUGCCGGGAACGUGGAUGGCAUUAAAUCUCUUUGCAGAGAAGGUGCUGGCCUUGAGGUGCGUAUACUUCAACUAUUUGUUCCCCUUACAUAGUUAUAUUCUGUCAGUUUUCUAAGGUAAUUUUGAUGGAAAGUCGAUAAAGAGUUGGCCUUUAGGGAACGUUGGUUUGUUGUUCAGUUCGCCUUAAAUUGUACAUGUUAAAGUCUGGGUGUCGUUCGUGGUUCCCAGAAAAGCAGAAAAUAAGUAAAAAAAGAAGUAAUUUGAUCAUUUAUGGUUGAUUCUUGCUUACAUGUGUGUUUUGUAUAAUGAAAUUAUGAAAGUUAUAGUCUGAGUUGUUUUUGUGAUGUAGUGGAUAGACAGAGAUGGAAAGACUGCCCUCAUUGUGGCAUGCAUGAAUCCUGAAUUAAUAGAUGUGGCCAAGACACUGAUUGAAAUGGGUGCCAAUGUCAAUGCUUACCGCCCUGGUAGGUUUCUUUUGAUAGUAUAUUUUGAUUUUUGCCCAAUAUUCGUUUUUGUAAUAAGUUCUAAAUUUCUGGACAAGUUAUUUACUCUGUUGCAUGGUGUACGCACUCUCACUUUAUAAUUAAAAGUUAAAAACAUUCUGAAUUGGGUGCAUAAACAUUGAACAGUUGUGUGAGUGUGUGUGUGUGUUUUAUUUUUUUUUGUUUUUAUGUUUUUUCCUUGGUAAUAAAAAGCAUCUUGUGUUAACUCUGCUUCUUACUUAACCUUCAUUCGCAGGACGUAAUGCAGGGACUCCGUUACAUCAUGCUGCAAAAAGAGGCCUGGAGCAAACUGUUAAGCUGCUUCUUUCUCGUGGCGGUAUGUCUUCCUAUUUGCUUAACUCGGGAAUUAUGAUCUAGUUCGGUAUUUGUUAUUUGUAUUAUAAGCUCUUGUUUGACAUUAAUGUUUUCAGCUAAUUUUUUAUUGAGGAAUGAUGAUUGUCAGACACCGCUUGAGGUUGCCAGAAAUAAAGGGUGUACAAAUAUUGUCCGUGCAAUUGAGGUACGCUUGAGGGAAAUACGUGCAUAAUUAAUUAAUCUUUUUUGCUAUGAUAGGUUGUUUUUCCUAGGCUUCAUGCAUGUGUUGUUCUAUCCAGAAUCAUAUUUGCUGUUUCUCUGGCUGGUUUCGGGAGUUUCACGGUCCAAGAUUCCUUGGUGGAUUUGCUCCUCAGUUGUUAUCAAGGAAAAUGUCUGUACAAUGUACAUUUACUGCCUUUAUAUCCAACUUUUCUUGAUAUUUUCCACACUUUUUAGUUUAUCUAGAGCAUAUCUGAUUCUCAUUAAAACUAUAUAUAUAAUGUUAACUGAUCGAGUCCCUUUAAAUGCAUUACUUGUGUACUAAUUAAUGUGCUUUCUUACAGCUGGGUUGUGAUUAUACCUUGUGGUUCUGGUAAUCCCAUGAGGCCUCCCAGAUUCGAGCUUGCAAUAUAUUCCACUUUGCAGGUUAGGCCACUAAAAUGGUCAUCUUGUUUUCAACGCAAUGCUUUAAAUUUUCUUUUACUCAAUUUGCCCUUUACCCUAGUCCCCUGGAAGAAUAUAGUCUGACUUUGAGAAUUAUUCAAUAAAUAACUUGUGAAGAGAAGUUCAUAUAGCCAUUUUAUUCAUCAUAUAAUGUCAUAAUCCCCUUUUUGUUUUCCUUUUAAGUUUGCCUUUCAGGCAUGGAUAUAACUUUUAAAAAUGUCAUAUAUUUAUAUUUAAUAUCUACAUUCUUGAUACGAGCAGGAUGCCCAGCCUCAGACGGUCAUCGCUCUUUGGAAGGCCAAAAUUGAAGAACCCAAAUUUCUUAAAUCAGAUCCAGCACUUGUCAUAUUUGAUCAGACUACCAGUAACUUCCUAUAGCUGAACCUAUUGUCCUUUUUUUUUUCUUUUCUGAUAAGAAACUGAUCUGGUAAGUAUUUGGCUGUGUUUAAGAAUACUCUUAGUCAUGUUAUGGUUCUUAUUGUUCUUUACUCUCCUUAGGCACUGAAUGUUAUUAAUUGAAUUGCUUGUUCCAUGUUUUGGUGUUGCAUAUGACCUUUAUGCAUCUGUAAAGCUCCUGCAUCAUGCUUGUUAUUCUAGUGAUAUGAUCAACUUUGCUAUUUGAUGGUGUCUAUAUAAAUAUGAUUAAUAUAAAAAUGGUUGAUUAAAGGCAUAAGUUCAGAUCUAUGAUUGCUCUUUUUCUCUUUUAUCAUACCAUUGUUUUGUCAUACAUAUAUAUAUCAAUAAGAUGAGGCAAACUUCAUCAUUGAUUAUUUAAUUUGCAGCUUUGGAAUUGGAAGUAUUCUGUGAUAGCAAAUUGUUUAGCUAUGAAUGAAUGCAGUAAUAAAUCUAACUGUUAAGUGAAAUAGACAUUGGCUUUCUCAUUUUCCCAUUGUAUUCACCAACAGUCCUUUUGUGUAUAAUAUCCUUUGGUGUUUGAACCUUUUUACUCAUUCCAUUUUUAUCUGUUAGAAACUCGAUACAAGAUUGCAUCUGGAAAUGAGGGAGACAAGCAGCAGCUUCAAUGGUUAUAUAGUGCAUGCAAAGGAAAUCUUCAGGUUUAGUUGAUUCUAUAUAUCACCCUGCUGAAAUUUGUAUCUCUUAGUUUUUGCGCAAAAAAGAACUGAAUACAUGCAUGUUCGAAAUUCUGAGAGGUGAUAAAAAUGGUGUCAUUGGAUAUUUAAUUCAUUAUGAAAAUCAAAACUCUUAUCUAAUCAGAUGGGGAGGAAAUGAGUGUAUAAAUCAUCUUUGGAAAUAGGUUCUUUUAUCUUUUAUAGGAGGAAUACUAGUGUUACUUCAAAAUGUGUAUUUGUAUUGACAAUUUCAGGUAAACUAUAUCACAAUACAUUCUUGUGAAAAUAGUCAUUGCAUCAUUGUAAUUGUAAUACGCUCUAAUUGGUCUAGUUUCAAUUAGAUUGGGAUAGACUUAUGCUCGGAUUCAAAUGUGAACAGUUAAGAGUGGAAAACAUGAGUUUGUUAUUUUUCUGAGCAUUUCGGUAUAAAUUAUUUUGAAUGCUGCUCUUCAAGUUAUGGAGGCUAUAAAAUUAGAGGAGUGAUGGAAAACAUGCAUGUGCUUGGUCCUUUGGUCUGUUAAAGAGGAUUGCUUUAGAGGUCUGGUUUAUGACUUAGCAUCUUCAUUUGUUCAGAAAUCAAGUUAGUCAGGCAAGUGUAAUUUGUUUUCUUGAAAUUUCUGUCAUUUUUCAGUGGGGGACUUUGAAUAUUUUGUUGUAAGUAACUCAAUGGUUAUGUUGGAUUAGUUUUGGAAAGUUGUGUUUUAUGUUUCACGUUUCACAAACAGUACUAUUUUUCUUCGUUUUGUUUGAUAAAUUGCAUUAUAUAACAUACAGUAAGCAUCUUGCAUACUAACAAGAGCUGCAAUGUUUCUAGGUUGUCCCGUCCCCAACAGUUCUUGAUACCCAAACUUCAAGUGCAGCAAAUGCACAUCAAACUGUUGCUGAAUCUCCAGAACGUAAUAAUAACUGGUGCUCUGGGGCAGUUGAUGCAAACGGUUGGGAGAUUUCUACAAAUGCUGAAAGUUAUAAUGGAUGGGGUCCUACUGAUGGACGGGAACAUUCAGAGCUAGGUAACACAGGAUGGAUGGAUGGACCAACCAGAAAGGAUUACAAUGGUUGGGGUGUGUUAGAUUCUGGACCCUCUGUCCAAACCCUUGGAGAUCACAGUGGUUGGAUGGGUGCACGAACUAAAAAAGAGAACGACUGGGAUUCUAGACCUACUGGUAAACAAAGUCUCCAAAGCCUCUUGGAUCCUCCUGCCCAUGUCCAAACAAGUGGACUCAAUGCUUCCAUGUCUCCAUCUGCUCCACCAAUUCCUGAUGAUGUUUUAGUUGAAGAACCAAGUCAGUAUCCUUCAAUUGAUUUCAAUCCAGUGCAUUUGCCUGCUACGACAACAACAGAUCAUGGAGCCUCAACCACAAAUGAUGCUAAAGGAGAUGGUUCUUCCUCUUGUAUAAUAUGUUGGGAAGCUCUGGUAGAAGGUGCAUGCAUCCCCUGUGGUCAUAUGGCUGGUUGCAUGUCUUGCUUAAAUGAGAUAAAGGCCAAAAAUGGACUAUGCCCCGUUUGCCGAAGCAAGAUAGAUAAAGUUAUACGGCUCUAUACCAUAUGAUGGGUGGAAAAACCAAUAAUACACAUGGAUUGUCUUAUGCAUGGCAGAUUAAACUUAUUGAAAUUUUAAAGUUUUUGUUACAAAAUCAAGUUACUGUAAAUGACAUUAUCAUAUACUAAGAAAAACAUUAUUUAGUGAAAUAUACAAUUCCUUAUCAGUGUCAUUCCUGGAAACUUCAUUUGAUUUGAGUGAUAUAACUUGAAGCUGAAGCAAGUGAAUCAGUAACUCUGACAGGUUUGCCUUUCUGUCUGUUUUAAGACGUGUAUGUUUCGUUAUAAAAGUAAUCGCUGUAAAUCUCCCUUUACCAAAAACAAAGAAAAGGAGCAUUUUAAGGAUCAUGUCCUGCAGAGAAAAAAAUAGUCAAUUUUAGUCUUAAAAGUAGAAGCACUAAAAGGAGCCCACCAUUGCAACAGCAAGACCCUUCCCACAUCUCCAGGAUCUCCUGCUCCUUGCUACAGUCCAAAUUUACUGUAGUUUCGUAGUGCCAGAUUGAUAGAACGAAGCAUCACUUUAUUUUUCACUGUGAAUGAAAACUUACCACGAUCAUGGGUUUGAGAUUACUGUCGACAAAGGAAUCAUAGAGAUUGAUUGAACUGUAAGGCCGCUUACUGUCGAGACGUAUGCAUUUCUAGUUGUUUGCUACUGGAUUGACCAUGUGACCGACACUUGAAGAUAUUGGUAGAUUAGGAUAAGGGAUAAGGUAGUUUUGAAAGUAAAGCUAGCCUUAAAUGAAGCCUUGGAAUCUUAGACCAGUGUCGGUCCAAAGUAAAAUAUAAAAGCAAAAAUAAAAAUUAAAUUGUAAGAUCAAGGGGGGUGAGUAAUGUAAUCUGAUGUGAUUUGUUAAAAGUGGGAUUUGCAAGCAUGUGUUUCUGAAAAACUAAAAUAGAAGUCAAAGCAGUUAAAAAGAGUUUGAGCAAUUAAUUUGAGUCAUUAAGCAAACCCUUUUUAACCAGGUGAAGUGAUUGACUUGUGUGACCUCCAUUAACCAAGGUACUUUAGGAGGUUUAUAAGCUAGUUUUGUACAAAAAGAAACAAAGUAAUGACAGUAAUUUCCCACGAAAAAGAUGAAAGUGGAGAGACACAUGACAUGAUGCAACUUAUGAACUGAAAAAGGGGAUGAUUUGGAGAGGUUUGGUUCAUCUUCAGGAAAUAUGUUUGAUAGCUGGCAAUGGAUCAACAGGACCAAAAAAUGGGGCAGUCUGUUAUAAUUAAAGCAGCUAAGGGACCUGAAAGUUUGUCUUUGUUUGUACUUAUGUCAAUUUGUAAUGAAUGGUAACUAUGGGGUUUAAAUUUUAUUUUUAAAGAAAUAGUGUUUUAUAAUAUAUUUUAUUAUUAGACUCAAUAAUAUUAGAACAUAUUUUUUUAAUAGAAAUAAUAUUUUAUAAUAUAUUUUAUCAUUAGACUAGAGGUGUCUAUGGGCCGGGCCGGGCCCAAAAAAUUUUAGCCCGCUUCCUAGGCCCGGGCCGAAAUAUGGGCCUGAGAUUUGUGCAGGCCUUGCCCGGGGAAAAAUAUGGAACCCGAGCCCGGCCCGGCCCGUUUUCUAAUUAAAAUUAUAUUUUUAUUAAAAUUAAAACUAAUUGUUGUUAAAAUUAAUUGUUAUCAAAAUUAAUUGUUAUUAAAAUUGUAUCAAAUUAUAUUUUUUUGUACUAGUCAACAUUUUGUAAAAUCUAACAUUUUGUUAGUAAAAUUAUUAAUUGUAUUAAUUGUUACUAAAAUUAUCAAAUUAUAUCAAAUUAUUAAUUAUUAAUUGUUACUAACAUUUUGUUAGUAAAAUUAUUAAUUGUUAAUUGUAUUAAUUGUUAGUAAAAUUACCAAAUUAUAUCAAAUUAUUAAUUGCUAAUUGUAUUAAUUGUUGUAAAAAAAUCUAACAUUUUCUAACUUAAAACUUAAAAUAAAACUAAAACUAGUAUAUUUUAAAAAUAAAAAUAUAUAUUUAAUAUAUUUUCGGGCCGGGCCGGGCCUGGGCCAAAAAAUUUUUGCCUGAAGCCCUACCUGUUUUCUAAACGGGCCUCGUUUUUUCCCCAAACCCAUAUUUCAGGCCUAUAUUUUUACCCGAACCCUCUCAUAUUUUGGACGGGCCGAGCUAGGCCGCCCGGCACAUGAACACCUCUACAUUAGACCAACAAUAUUAAAACAUGCAAUUUUCGUAUAAAAUAUAUAAAAAUAAAAUUAAUCUCGAAAUUCAAAUUACCUCAGUAGAAACGUUACUUCAAAUGUUUGAAACACUUUGUUUGAAACUCCCCUUUGUUUUAUGUAAUAAUGGUGAUUAAUUACAAGUCUCCUCCUGACAAAUCUUCGACCAAAUAGGGGUCCCGCCCAGUUCAACCUUCUCUUUCUUUUCUUUUUGUGUGUUUCCUUAUUGGGUUCCAGUUCUGUCAGCCUUCUCCCUCAUGCAACUUUUCUGGGGAAAAAGAAAAAAAAGCUGAGCUUGAAGUUGUCAUGUUUAAUGCUUCAGGGUUUAAUAUUUGAUUUUUUUUUUUCAGGUUUAUGUCAUUACUCAAAUGUACAUCAAGAUCCUUGCUUUCUUCGUUUCACCAGCUUAAACCCACUUCAAGAAACAGGUAUAUAUAUUUCUUUAUGGUGUAAUAAUAUGUCGGUGUGUUUUUCAUUAUAUAAAUUGGAUUUAAGCACUGGGAAGCUCUUGUAGUUUAAUGUGAAUGUUAUUUUUGAGUGCUGUUUGUUCUUGUUGCUGUGAUGUAGCAUUUGAAAUAUAUAUUUUUAAUAGACUGAGUGUAAGAAAAAAAAAAAAAAACCAGGUUGAGUGAGUUUACUGAUUAGCCAUUUUUGGUUGGAAGCUUUGCUAACUCUGUUAAACUUGGCUUUUGAUUUUGUUGUACUUCAAAUUUGUAUUUACAUUUCUUCAACUAGUAAAUGAAGAAUGAAUUUGUUUUUCAUAUUAAUGUUUUAAGAAUUCUCUAUCCCUGUCACUUUAGCUCUGUUAAGAAACAAUGAGGUGUGUAUUAUACAUUUAUACACACUUUUAUGAAGCUUCUUUGUUUUUCAAUCAAAAUCCUCUUUCCUUUAAUUUGUGUUGGAUAGCUGAGUCUAAGGAUUUUAGACCAUAUUGGAAAAAGUCAACAGUGAUAUUAGUCAAAAAGCCCUUUUCUUUAUACUCGAUUUUUUUAUUUAUUAAAAUUUGCUUGUUUUAAAUUGGAAAUUUAAAUUUUGUAAAGUGAGUUUGAUAAAAGGUUUCCCAUGGCAUUGGUGAACAAUUUCCAGUAGCAGUGCAUGUGUUUGUCUAUGUUCCCCAUAGAGACAUCAAUCAAAAGCCUUUCACUUGCUAUGAAAAAUUGUAAAAAUAUCUGAUCUUUAUCCUUUUGCUCGAAAUCUAGAAGACUGGACUACCUUAGAUUAUGGGUAAAAGACAACACCGACAAUGGUGCAAACUUCAAAUUUCUUCAAUGGCUUUUUUUUAAUAAAUUCUGAUUUGCUGCAUACAUUACAGGUCAGAUGGAAACAACCUCUGUGAGAUAUCUCAUCAACAGCAUCUGUCGAUUUAUUCAUCUCACAUCAUGCCAGAAAAUAAAAGUUGUUCCCAUGGAAAAGAAUUACAGAAAUAUGGUUGUUGUGUUAAAAAUUUUAAAACCACUGCUUGAUGAUAUUGUUGAUUGCAAGAUACCUUCAGAUGAAACUCUAUAUAAAGAGUGCGAAGAGCUAGAUUUGCUUGUGAAUGAGGCUCGAGAAUUCGUGGAGAAGUGGUGUUAUAAUAUGAGCAAAAUCCACAGGGUAAGUUUAAUUUCAAUCUGUACUGAACACUAUCUGUUGUAACAUCAGUGUUCUAUGAUCAUAUUCUAGUUUUUGAUCAUUAUGCUUUUCUAUUGUUCACUUUUAAAACCAGUAUCCAAGCAUAUUUUAAUGGCAUUGCUUCAAAUAAAACAGAGAAGCCAAGCUUGAAUUUUGGAUAUUGAGAUGAAUUAUGUAUACCUUCUUCAGUAAAAGAAGUAGGCUCUUAGGCUUCAACUACUAUCAUAUUUCAGUUUAUUUAUUUAUUUAUGUUUUAAAAACAUAUACAGGUUCUUCAGAGUGAGUCUUUUCUGAUAAAAAUGCAAAGCUCUUCGCUUCAGAUAUGUCAAGUAUUACAUAGAUCAUUGCAAUCAUCACUAUCCACUUCAAGUAUAACCACUGUUCAGGUAAGAAAAAGGUCAAAUUUAUUGCUCAUGCCAUUAUUGGAUGACAAAAAUUCUAUCCCAUUUUUGGAGCCUUUUCUGAUAAAAAUGCAAAGCUCUUCACUUCACUUCAGUUAUGUCUCAUAUUAUAUAGAUCGAAUUCGAAGUCAUCAUCAUCCGCUUCAAGUAUUGAAGAAAAGAUCGAAUUUGUUGUUUCAUACUAUGUUUGGAUGAAAAAAGAAAUGGUAGUCAUUUUCUUUCUACAAAUUUUAUUGUCCUUCUGGAAAUUGUCAAGGCAUAUAACUUUUUCAGUGUUGUGUCGGUUUUGUGUAGUGACACUAACUAAUAUUCAAUUGUUUCAGCACUGUAUGCGGGAAAUUAAACAUCUACAGCAGGAGAGACCAUUGGAAAAUGUAGGAGAGGCUUUGAGAAGUCUAAGAGAUGAUGCUAUUCCUUGCACUGAUCAUUUGAUAAAAGUUUUCAAAUCACUGAACUUGUCGUCAACCCAGGAGUUGUUCAAAAAAACUGUGGCUGUGGAAAAAGAGAGAAUGAAUGUGCAAGUCAACAGUGCAAAAGGGAAAUUAGAUCAAAUCAACCAGAUUGUGGAUCUCAUCUCUUGUAUACGUGAUUAUAUGCUUAAAACACAGCACUUUGUACCCACAUGUGGUAUUUUGAUACCUCCACGCUUCCUUUGCCCCUUGUCGUUGGAACUUAUGAUGGAUCCUGUUAUUGUCGCUUCUGGGCAAACUUAUGACCGCACUUCCAUCCAAAAGUGGCUUGAUAGUGGACUGUCCAUUUGCCCAAAGACACAUCAAACACUUACACAUACAAAGCUCAUUCCAAAUGACAUAGUCAAAGCUAUGGUAGCAAGUUGGUGUGAGGAAAACAACUUACAACUUUCUAGUAACAGCGGCCGUGCAAAACUUGUCUCAAUUUCUCCUUCAAAUCAUUUAUCAUCUCAAGAUUUAACUCACACUGAUAGUACUUGCUUUGCAAACGGUAGUUGCUCCACAUCAAGAUCAUCUCCUGAAGGUGGAAAUGGUUUAGAGAAGCAGAAGAUUGACACCUCUUCAAAAUAUAACCAAGUAUGCUAUGGAUACCAAAGCAGGGACAUUGACAAGUAUGAUCAGCAAUCCUCCAAUCAGUCAUUUUUUCACAGCAGGACUGAAUCAGCCUCAAGUGAAGUUUCUAGCAUUGAUUGUGCCUCUAGUAGUUCAAAGAAACAUGAAAGGAAUGACUUAGCUGAAAUUUCAUCUGAGGGCCUUGGUACUUCCUCAUUAACAAAAGAAUCUGGACUUUCUUCCUGGAUAACAGGAAAGCAGUUGCAGGCCUCUGGAGCAAAAAUAGAAAAGUCAGUCAACGGAAACCAUAAUUAUAACAGCCCUUAUUUCAUUGAAUCUGGGUCAGGAUGUGAUGAUUUGACCACGAGUUCCCAUGUGAAGACGUUAGUGGACAACCUUAAAAGCCUAUCCAAUGAAGUCCAAACAGCAGCUGCUGCAGAAUUGCGCUUUCUUGCAAAGCACAACAUGGAAAAUCGAAUAAUUAUAGGUCAAUGUGGUGCUAUUGCGCCAUUACUUUCUCUAUUAUACUCAAAAGUAAAGCUAACGCAAGAGCAUGCUGUUACAGCCCUUCUAAACCUCUCAAUUAAUGAAGAUAACAAGGCUAGAAUUGCAAAAUCGGGAGCAAUAGAGCCACUAAUUCAUGUUUUAAAGUCUGGAAAUGCUGGAGCCAAAGAAAACUCUGCGGCAGCUUUGUUCAGUCUUUCUGUCUUGGAAGAGUACAAGGCAAGGAUCGGCCGCUCGGGUGCUGUAAAAGCCUUGGUAAAUCUUCUAGGCUCAGGAACAUUGAGAGGAAGAAAAGAUGCUGCUACUGCUUUGUUUAACUUGUCAAUCUUUCAUGAAAAUAAGGCUCGUAUAGUGCAAGCUGGCACGGUGAAAUACCUUGUCAAGUUUUUGGAUCCUGAUAGCGGGAUGGUUGACAAGGCAGUUGCUCUUCUCUCGAACCUGUCCACAAUUGCGGAAGGGCGUUUGGCAAUUGUACAGGAAGGCGGUAUCCCAGUACUAAUGGAAGUUGUUGAAUCAGGGUCGCCGAGGGGUAAGGAAAAUGCUGCCUCUGCAUUGCUGCAACUAUGCCUUAACAGUUCCAAGUUUUGUACCUUGGUUUUGCAAGAAGGGGCCAUUCCAUCCCUAGUUGCACUGUCUCAGUCCGGCACACCAAGAGCAAAGGAAAAGGUAUGCAGCUUAGUUUUUAACUCUUCUUCUGUUACAAUGCUACAGUCCUUGCAUUGUCUGUUUCUGUGUCUGGAAUUUCAAAUAGUAAGCGGAAUUGUGAUUAUAUUCCUUAAUGUAGUUAAUUAGAUUGGUUUGGAAAAAUGUGUUAUGUAAUGCGAAUUUUCGGGAUGCACAUCAUAAAGCAUAUGAUAUAUUGUUUUUUUAAUGUUGCAGGCACAGCAGCUUCUUAGUCACUUCCGGAAUCAGAGAGAAGGUGCGACAGGGAAGGGCAGGAUGUGACAUAUGAUAACUUGUGUUAUAUUUUUAUUUUCUGAUUCUUUUGAUACCCUUCUUGCAUGUAAGUUGUUCUUUUCUCAUUUUAUCUUGUUGGAGCUCUCUCUUCCCAUACGUUCUUUAGUUGUCAAGCUAUAUGCAUGGGCAUUGUGAACUCUAUUCUUUGUUUCUUUUUGAUCCCUAUGGGAAAAUAGGGCAAGCUUUCCAGUGAGGUGUUCGGUUUGACGAUAAUUUACUUCGAAUAUUUCCAUGGAGCAUAAUAGCUUGCCGUAGGAUUAUGGUAUGACAGCUUCACUUUGUUUUUCUUCAUUUAGUUUAGUUCAUGUAAUAACUGGUUCUGAUUUGUUCCUUAAGUUUUGUAAAUAUGUUGUACAUGUAAUCUACUUUAUAGGUUCUUGUUAAAAGGAUACUUUUGCAAUUUGGUUUGGUUUGAAAUGUUCCAUUUUCUGUGAUUUGGUAUCCCUGUUUGUCACUGCAGGACAGCAUGCAAUAUUCGAUAAUAGGUCAAUUUGGGCAGUGCUGUCACCUAAAAGUUGCAGCAUUCAUUCAAGGCCCUACUUCUCUAGUCGUAUGUUUUAGUGUUUAGGAAAAAGGGAGUAGCCGAAGGCAUACACUGGUCCACUCAUGUUAGUCAUGGGAUGGGCUGAAAGUGAAAUUAUACAACAGCUGGCAUUUAUGGUACCAUUCCAUAAUAAUUAAUACUUCUGACCAGACUCCUCCGGUGUUUGAUCUCUCAUGGCCUUUCCACCACUUUUCUUUCUUUAAUGAUGUCAGAGGGUAGAAUUUGUGAUUCCAAUUGCACCCGUAAGCACUUUGAUUCACAUUUUGUUGUUAGCAAGAUGAAGAACGUUUCUCUGUUUAGUGUUUUUUUCUACCGCAAAUAAUAAAUAAUUUUGCCGACAGACAUUAACUUGAUUUGCUUAAAACAAUGAUAUAUUGAUAUGCACAUAGUAAACAUGCCAGAAGGUCUUUUAAGACAUGAAGUUGUAUGAAAAUCCCUUCAUUUAAAUUUGCAGUUAAUAUUGGUGAUUUGACAAUUUAAAAAGUGAAUACUUGAUAUUGAUGACAAAGAAACAUGUUGGUUUUUGAUAAAUAUCCGGUCAAAUAAAUAGAUACAAGUGUCAGGUUUACGACCGGUUGCCAAGGCCGAGAGUUUUUACAACCCAAAAUUCAUAGUGGGUCUAGAGAUCUUAUAAUUGGGCCUGCCACAAUUGUGAUCCACAGAAAACAAGUAUGAAAGAUAUAGUGGAUGUAGAGAGAUUUUAUAAUACUUUUCCUCCUUUCGCACCACACUGUUUACACUUGUCGUUAACCGUUGAUGGUUUUUUUCUGGACAAGAUCCACUGUUGUGCCAUGUUGUAUAUUGGUGAUGGAGUUUUAUUUUGGUCCACAUGGACAUCUAUUUUACUCUUAGGUUGAGUGUUGUUCCGUGACAGAUAAUGACGCUCGACUUAAAUGUUUAAUGCUGUGAUAAGUUAUAUUGCAUAAUGAAGGAGAAAUAUAAAUUUAAAUUUUAAAGUCAUUAUUGUACAAGCCCAAUUUUUAGCCCAAAACCCAAUUAACCCAAGAACCCAAAAUAAUCACAUACCAGCAAAACCCUCUACCCAAUACAACCCAAAAACCCCACCUAAACCUAACCCAGCUACCAGCCCAAUUACAAUUAACCUAACCCAGACCCGAAGCCCACUUAGCCCAGGCCCGAUUUCAGUCUCUGAAACCCUAGGCGCCGCCCCUUGACUUUUGGCUUCCUGCCAUCGCCGCCACCGCCGUUGGACGUCCCAUCCGCGUCCAUCACGUCGGCCUCCCCCCACUUGCGCCGUCACCUGCAAAAGAAACAAAACGAAGGAAAGAGGGCAAUAGAAACAGUGGCAUUCGGCUAUAAAAGCCAAGAAAAAUGUAUUUUGAAGCUCUUGGCUUCCUAUUUUGUAACCAAAAAGUAACAGACAUUAGCAAAAUAAAUAAAAAAACAAGAGAAAUAUUAAGAGGUGAUUUUCGUUCUCCCGUUUUCAGAUUUUUUUUUUUAUUUUNNNNNNNNNNNNNNNNNNNNNNNNNNNNNNNNNNNNNNNNNNNNNNNNNNNNNNNNNNNNNNNNNNNNNNNNNNNNNNNNNNNNNNNNNNNNNNNNNNNNCAAACAAAGAAACGAUUUAAAAGGGAAAGAAAAAGAAAGGAGUACUUGAGCCGUUCCGUUUGCGCCGUCGCCGGAGUUCAUUUUUGGGUUACCGAAAUCGGACCAUGAAGGCGACGUUUGGGGCUUCGCUCCUUGGCCCUACGGCUCUAAAGCCCGAUCAUUAGUCGGUCCCUGAAACGGGGUUAAAAAACCGACCUUUUGGAAACUCCGACCACCGCAUGUGGCGGGGUCAUUGGUGGCCCGUUCGGCCAAAGGAAAAGGAGGGCUGAGGGUUUCUUUUUUUUUUCUCUGAAGUUUUUUUUUAAGCAAUGAAAGAAUGAGUUUUUAGAAAAAAAUUGUUUUAAAUAAGAUUUUCAAAACGGCGCCGUUUGGGCUUAGUUUUCAGAGACCAAAACGGCGUCGUUUUGGUCUCUCACCCGCGCGGUGACCCGACCCGGGGAGGAUCCGCGUGUUUUUGACUCUUGGGUAAUUUGCGCAUUUAGUCCCUUUGAUUUUGUGGAACUUUCAAGGAGGUUUUUCCCAUAUUUGCAAUUUUUGCCUCAAAUUUUCGCGUUUUCCUCGAUUUGGUCCCUGGACCAUGUGCAUGCGUUGCACUGGAACGGUGUCGUUUGAAUGACAGAGGGAUAUUUAUCAGUUUAGUCCCCCUUUAUUUCUCGCGCAUCACAACUUGAUCCCUUACCUUAUUUUAUUUUUAAUUUCGGCCCUGAGAUUUUGUUUCAGUUUUAAUCUAGUCUUAUUGUUAUUAUUAUUAUUAUUUAUAUUAUUGUUACUUAUCAUGUUGUUAUUAUGUAAUAGAUUAUAUAUAUAUAUAUAUAUAUACAUGUAUCUACAUUUUUAACUUAUUUAAUUCAUACAUAAAUACUUUUUUUUUUNNNNNNNNNNNNNNNNNNNNNNNNNNNNNNNNNNNNNNNNNNNNNNNNNNNNNNNNNNNNNNNNNNNNNNNNNNNNNNNNNNNNNNNNNNNNNNNNNNNNCGUAUGUAUAUCUAUAUACUUUUCUUCCACAAAUAUGUGUAUACUUAUUUAUAUAUAUAUAUUUUUAUAUAUUAAAAUAUGUAUAUUUAUAUAUAUACAUUAUAUAUUUUAUCUUACCUUUUUUAUAUAAUCCACAUAUAUAGUUCCCUUAUAUGUACACACACAUGUUCAUAUUUUAUAAUUUUCAUACAUUUUCCUUUAUUUUUAUGUUCAUUUAUGUAUUUAUUUAUAUGCCCAUUUUUAUGCUUUAGUUUAUUUAUUUAUUUAUUUGCUAUGGUAUAUGCAUGAUUGAUUUAUUUCAUUAUUCGUUUUUGUUCAUUUUUUUAUUUACAUAAUCAUGUUUAUUAUUCCAUCAUGCACAUAAAUAUCAUAUUUCAAAAAAAAAGGAAAAUAUUUCAAAUUAAGGCAAUAUUUAGCGUUUGGAAAUUCGAGGAACGUGCCCUAAGGUACUGGGUUUCGAUUUCUCGUUCGACCAAAUAGCUAAAUAUCCUUUUAAAAACUUUUCAAAAAUAAGGCAAUAUUUUGCGUUUGGAAAUUCGAGGAACGUGCCCUAAGGUACUAGGUUUCGACUUCACGUUCCACCAAAUGACUUAAUAUCCUUUUCAAAAAUUUUCAAAAUAAGUCAAUAUUUAGCGUUUGGAAAUUCGAGGAACGUGCCCUAAGGUACUGGGUUUCGAUUUCUCGUUCGACCAAAUAGCUAAAUAUCUUUUUAAAAACUUUUCAAAAAUAAGGCAAUGUUUUGCGUUUGGAAAUUCGAGAAACGUGCCCUAAGGUGCUGGGUUUCGAUUUCACGUUUAACCAAAUUGCCAAAUUUCCUCUUGAAUUUUAAUCCAUGCCAUUCGAGUUUUUUUUUAAGGAUCGUAUUUUAAAUUUCUUUAAAGUUUUCAAUCUUCGACACUAAGACAUUAAGUAAUCAACUAGGUACCAAUUUUGGGCGUAUCGAGGGUGCUAAUCCUUCCUCGUGCGUAACCGACUCCCGAACCCGUUUUUCUGAAUUUCGUGGUCCAAACUUGUUGUUUUAAUAAAAUCAAAUCUUUUAUUAAAAACAACCACUUUUCGAGGUGAUCCAAUCACACCUUAUCAAAAAGGAUUGGUGGCGACUCCCGUUUUCGUUUUCAUUUUCAAAAACCUAAGUCGACCCCGUUUUCCAUCAAAAAAAAUGGUGUCAACAGUUUGGCGACUCCACUGGGGAAAUAAAAUAAGUGGGUCAAGCCACGGGUUGAAUAUUUCUUAUCUUUUUGUCGAAAGUUGAAAUUUGAUUUAAAUAUACGAUCCUCUGAUUGCAUUUCAUUUGUUUUGAGUUAUAGUUUUUAUAAUGUUUUGUAUUUCAAAUUUCUAUAUAUCUCUGCACAUUGCAUUGCAUGACCGUUGGUCACACCUUUUAAGUGGGAGUGAGAAGCUACUCCUUCGUGAGGUUUUCACCUCCGUGCAGGAUAGUGGAUCGCUUUCGGGAUACAUCCGUACCUAUGUCUUCGUGAGAUUUUCAUCUCCGUGCAGCCAUAGGGAAAUGUAUUCCCCUGAACCGAAUAUGAACCUAUAAUGGGUGAAGAUCGAGGAAUCUGCUGGUUCGGGUACCUUAUCUUUAGAACCAACCCUCAUAUAGUGGACUUAGGAACUUAACCUAGGUAGAGCCACUCCAAAUCCCAAGUAUUUACCUGAUUAGGUACUUUUUGUUUUCUGCGCUUGCUUAUGUUUCGUUCUGACCCCUCUUGUUGUGUUUUGAUUAUGAUUGCAUUACAUUGCAUUUGCAUAUUAGGAAAGAGAUAUUGAUUCAAGUCCGAUUACUAAAUUAGAAAGCUUGUCAUGGAAUACGGAUUCCUUGAUAAAGUGGAAAACAAUACGACUUCCCGAAUAUAUUCUGAGAAACACAAGAAUGGCGAUGGAAAAGUUCGUGACCCUGCUUCGUAGCCUGAGGAUUCAAGGCAAUUGUCUAAGAGCCUUCAACAUUCCACCCCCUUAAAGAGGCGGACGAGCUUUAUGAAGAUGGGCAGAUGAUGGAUCGCGACCAAGAUCAAGAAAAUGAGCUAGCAAUGGCAUCUAUUGGAGAGAUUACCUCAAACAUGCGGAUGAAGAAAAACCGAUGUUGUUUCUUGGAAUAUGAGGGUGAGGUCGUACAUGUAUCCGUUUUAUGUAAGGGAAUUAUUUCCUAGAAAAGUUUCCUAAAUGUAAUUGAAUCAGAAUCAACGUCUCUUUAGGCAUUCAUUUCAUGCAUUUGCAUUACAUUGUAUCAUAUGCAUUAGAUUUUCAUGAAGUGACCCUAAUUAGGUAAAAUUAUUUCAGAAAGUCUGGAAAACCAACAUUUUUGCGGUACCUGAAUAUAGACUAAAGGAAUGGAACGAAGGUUGGAAAAAUUAGAGCGAAUGCAGAUUCAGAUGCAGGAGCAAUUGACUGAAUUUCAACAGGAGAUGAGAGAUUAGAUUCUAGGAUUACAGAGAACCAUGAUAAGUCAGUUCAACCGAUUGCUAGCUGGAGAAAAAAGGAAGGACCCGAUGGACCACUCAGGGGUUGAUAAUGAGGAUUUUGCUUAUUCCCUAGAUUGUACUCCGAUAAGUACACAGAUCCAGCCAGAUGGGCGUUCACAUGGGGCACCCUUUACUAUCAGAUCACAACGGUAUCAGACUGGCACAGCAACACCAGUGGGUUGCUUGACGGACCCAAGGUCCAAAGUGAGGAACAAUUUUUCUGUUGCUCUCGACAACCUGGCUGAAACAAAACAGGCGAGGGUGGAAUACCUAAGUACCACAAAGGCCCCAAGGAAGGAGGGGAAUAAAUGGGAUAAUGCGGGCAGGUAUAACAAGGGCCACUCAAAACCAAUCACUGCGGGCCGACCAAAGACAGAAACCACCAGCCAUCAGAGGUCUUCAAAGCAAGAAUCUGGAGUGAAGCCAGGUAUUGAGAAGCUCCAGUUCAUACCAAUUCUGAUGUCAUAUAGUGAGUUAUAUCGAAGCUUAUUUGAUGCACAUGUGGUGUCCCCCUUCUACUUAAAACCCAUACAGCCUCCGUAUCCCAAAUGGUAUGACACGAACGUACAAUGCGACUACCAUGCGGGAAUUACGGGACAUUCAAUAGAGAACUACAUUGCCUUCAAGAAAUUGGUUGAAAAACUCAUUAAUAUGGGUGUUGUCAGAUUUGAUGACUCGUCUAGCGCAGAAACUCUACUACCUAGUCAUAUUGAUAAUGGGGUAGACAUGAAAGUAGGAAGGGGAUCAGUUAUUUCUGAUUUAGGAGGAAAUAAGGGAAAGACACGGAACCAUUGCGAUUUCCAUCACGAGAGGGGGUUCGAGACCUAAGAGAGUGUGGAAUUCAAGGCCUUGGUUCAGGACAUGAUGGACGAAAAGGGGAUGAAGCUUCGUGAGGAAAUUAAAGAGGAGGAAAACAUACGCUUAAUGUUGGCAAGCGUUCACACCAAUGACAUAUUUGAAGACACGAAUGAAAAGGAACCUUGUUAGAUAUCUGCCCUUAUAAAUCUGGAGUGUUCUAAGCAAUUGGGCUACGGAAGAAAUCCCUUUAGUUUUUAGGGCUUAUCUAGAGUAAUGUUCAGAACAUUUUGUUGUUUUUAGCCUAGAAGCAAUAGAAAUUCCUUUAUGAAAGAGGCUAAUGUCUGAACGUUAUUAUUCUAAUAAAAUACAUCUUUGCAUUCACUUUUGAGCCAAUAUUCUUUCAUUCUUUUUGAAUAAUUAUGUCUGAUUAUUUUUCUUUUGGAUUUUCUUCCACAUCAUUCAUUCAUUCAUAAUCAUAUUGUAUAAAUAAUUAUUCUUAAAUUCAUACAUUCUUUGUAUAUUCUUUUGUACCUACAGUAGGUCCUUGGAUAUCAACGACAUGAAUGACACUGUUACAGACUUAGAAUCUCCUUUUGAGUGAGACAUGUGUUUAGAGGGAUCUCACGCCUUUGAAGAUGACAUAGAUCGUAGCUUAUCUCCAAGCUUAUUGAGGAUGGUAGAACAAGAGGAUAAACAGAUCAUACCUCACAAGGAAUCAUUAAAAAUUGUGAGCGCGGUAAAGAUUAGAAUUGACUUGACCGCAGAGACGAAGCAAAGACAUUGUUGAGUCGCCUCUAGAGUUCAAUGAUGUCUUUGUAUGAUCAUACCAGGAUAUGCUCAGAUUAAUCGCUGAUAAGGAAAUCUGCACAGCAGCACGUUUUCAGAAAUUUGCAGUGAAUGAUGCAAUUCUUUGCCGGGGCAAUGCCUCUCUCGUUGAGUCAACAUAGCUUUGCCCAUUUGAAGUCGAGUUUCCAUCCCUUCAAGAUGUUGUUGGAUUUUAUCCUGAUUAAAGAAGAAGAUCCAAAGUUUUCUAUCGUAGUUGCGUCCCAAAAGGGCUCUAUGAAAGAAAUCUGGUACCAAAGAAGGUUUUUCGCAUACAAGAUGAAAGUGGAAGAUCUUAUGUGGAAGACUUUAGAAUAGCAUUGAUUCUGGUCGAAAAGCAUGACCAGGACUUGCCUGAUCUCAUGAGUUCAGACUCAAAAAAAAAUUCAAAAAUAAAAAAAAUUAAAAAAAAUCAAAAAAAUUAAAAAAUCAAAAAAUAAAAAAUCAAAGUCAAAAAUAGGGGAAAAAGAAAGAAGAAAAAAGAAAAAGAAAAAGGAGAGGUCAAGGCGAAAACCCACAAAGGGCGCUUUGACCAAAGGUGGAUCUAAGUUGAAAACCCGAAAAGGGCGACUCAAAUUUUGAGCAAAAUGAGGCAUGGAAUCACCAUUAUCGAAGACUUCUAAUGGGCAUUGCUUCAUUUUGAGAGGCUACUUUAUGAGCUAAAGUCAUCGUAUACCGAUACAGAAUUUCAGAGAAGAGGGUAUUAGAGAAUGCAUUGAGCUUAAACAAUAGCACUAUAGCUGAGGUCGCAAAUUAACUCAGAAGUGGACACCACGAUUCGUCACUGAAGUUCCUAGAGUUGAACAUCGAAAAUUGAAGGAAAAUAACUGAGACUUACAAUGAUUGACGUGAGAAAUUACCAUUUGCCCUAAUUGUUUGUCGAACAUCGGUACUGGGGCAACACUUCUCUUUUUGGUUUACAGGAUUGAGGUAGUUCUACCUAUUAAAAUCCCCUCAUUGCUUGUUAAAGGGAUCCAAUCGCAAUGUGAUCAGUUGGCCCUAGGAAAAGGGUUAAAAGCUAUUCAUCAGGGUCAGAUGUACCAUAAAUAAAUAAUAUGAGCCCAUAAUAAACAUGCUCGUCUCAGAGAAUUCCACAAGAGGGCUGGAUGUUGAAAAAUAUUCUUCCUUAACGAAAGGAUUCUAAAGGGAAAUGAAUGCCAAACUAGGAAAGUCCUUAUGUUGUAAAGAAGACCAUUUUUAGAGGAGCACUGAUCCUGAGUGAGAUUGCUAAUCCUAUAAACUCGGAUCCAGUCAAGAAACACUUUGUUUAAAGAAGAAGGAAGGACCAAGGUGAAAACCUGCAAAAGGGCACUUUGAAUAAAAAAACAAAAAAAAAGAGAUGAAAAAAAUGAAAAAGUAAAAAUGGAGAGGCUAAGGGGAAAACCCGCAAAUGGCAUCUUAGGCCAAAGGGGAUUUGAGUUAAAAACCCGAAAAGGGCGGCUCAAAUAUUGAUCAGAAUGGGGUAUGAAGUGAUUAGAUUGGGGCAUGUGGUGAUCCUGCUAUACCUGAAAGGGUAGGGCGACAUCUUGGGGCAUCGACAGAGUCCUGUAGAUCUCCUAAACACAUGUCAAACUCAGGAAAGUCCUCAGAAAGUUUGUACAGAGAAGUUCAAGCUGCGAUAUCUGGGGCAUCUAACCUUCAUACUAUUUAUUGAAUUUGUUGUUAUUGGAAUACUUCAUUCUUUUUCAAGAUACGUGUUCCAAUCAAUUCCUCUUUUAUUCUUGCUACCCUUGAUAAUUCAUUCAUUUCGAGCUUGCUCUCAAAUCAAUUCUAUUUCAUCCAUCGUUAUAUUCUUUUUUGAACAUGUUGCAUUGGAAUAAUGAUUAAUGGACUAAUAAAACUUUCACAAAGGAAGUUUUGCAUAUUACUCUGAAAAGUUUCUAAAUAAUAUAGGAACCUGAAACAGGAUUAUCGUUUAGAAAACACCAAGUUUAAAGGGUGAAAUAUCUAAGAAGGAAGAGUCUAAGUUAAAGACUAUCCUUUCAGAUUUUGUUGUCUAAACAUUGAUUGAACCAAAUGACAAGAUGUCGUGUUGGUGGCAAAGCUUCAAUGAACCGACAAGCGAUGUUUACCAGGCAAAAAGAAAAGGUCUUCUAGGAGAAGAAAAUUUUUGCAAUUGUGCAUGAGCAUUUGGUAUGACACCUUGGGGAUGAGGUAAAGGACCAAAGAGUUUCACAUUCAAUAUCAUUGAAUUGCGAUAGGAGAAGAUUGAGAAAAGUCAUAUUUCUACCCUUAAAUUACUGUGAGAGAAUGAUGGUACAAAUUUUGAUGUUCCAGUGGAUUGAACUUUGACGUGUACAGUGGGGGGCAAUCAGAUUAAGUGUUUCUUUGGAUAUGCUAGCCGAGCAAGAAGGCGGUGUAGCACGUCAGUGAUAAAGCCUUAAUAAGCUUUUGUGUGAUGAUAACCUAAGCAUUAAGGAAUCAUUUUCAUGACAUUUUGCAUGUCAUUCAUACACAUCUCGUUAGGAGCAUUUGAUUCGUUCUGAUCAUAUCAUCCUAAUCACUAGGCACAAUUAGGUUCAUAAAAUAGAACAUACAGGUCAUGUUCCCCAUAGAACAGAUCAAUGAAGACAUCAGAUCUUGCUUUCCUGUACUGACUGCGAAGCAGAUCAAAGACAACAGAUCUUGCCGUCCUGCCUUGAUAGUGAAGCAGAUCGAAGAUACAAGUUUUGUCUCCAUCGGUUGCGGUGGAACUGGUUGAAGAUAGCAGAUCUGGCCUUCCUGCGUUAACAGCGAAGCAGAUUGAAAACAAAGCCUUGUCUCCAUCGGUUGUAGUAGAGUUGAUUGAAGAAUGUCAGAUCUUAUCUCCCUGAGAUUACAGCAGAGCAGAUCGAAGCUAGUAAUCCUAUCUCCCUGAGAUUACAGUGGAGUGGAUUAAAAUAAAGGAUCUUAUCUCUCUGAAGUUACAGCAGAGAAGAUCGUAUCAGGUCUUAUCUCCCUGAGAUUAUAGCGGAGCAGAUUGAAGUUAGUAAUCCUAUCUCCCUGAGAUUACAGUGGAGCGGAUUAAAACAAAGGAUCUUAUCUCUCUGAAGUUACAGUAGAGUAGAUCGCAUCAGGUUUUACCUCCCUGUGGUUACAGUGGAGAACAUUGAAGCCAGUAAUUCUAUCUCCCCGACGUUGCGGAGUGGGUCGAAGCGCCAAUGCCUAUACCUCUGAAGUUGCAGUUGAAGUUACAAGUCUUAUCUCCCUGACGUUGCAGUAGGACAGACUAAAACCAUGAAUCUCACCCCCCUGAAGUUACAACAGAGUGGAUUGAAGCUACAAGUCUUGUCUUUUUGAAGUUGUAGCGGAAUGGAUCGAAGUGACAAGACACGGUAGACUGGAAUGAAGCUACUUGAAGAAGAAAGGCACCAAGAAGUCAAGACUCGGCGAGACCGGGCAAAAUUGGGCUUUCUUAGUCUUUGCUCUGUUAUCGUUACACGACAACGAGCAAAGAGUGGCAGCUGUACAAGCCCAAUUUUUAGCCCAAAACCCAAUUAACCCAAGAACCCAAAAUAAUCACAUACCAGCAAAACCCUCUACCCAAUACAACCCAAAAACCCCACCUAAACCUAACCCAGCUACCAGCCCAAUUACAAUUAACCUAAACCAGACCCGAAGCCCACUUAGCCCAGGCCCGAUUUCAAAAAAUAUCUGCCUAGGGUUUCAGAGACUGAAACCCUAGGCGCCGCCCCUUGACUUUUGGCUUCCUGCCAUCGCCGUCACCGCCGUUGGACGUCCCAUCCGCGUCCAUCACGUCGGCCUCCCCCCACUUGCGCCGUCACCUGCAAAAGAAACAAAACGAAGAAAAGAGGGCAAUAGAAACAGUGGCAUUCGGCUAUAAAAGCCAAGAAAAAUGUAUUUUGAAGCUCUUGGCUUCCUAUUUUGUAACCAAAAAGUAACAGACAUUAGCAAAAUAAAUAAAAAACAAGAGAAAUAUUAAGAGGUGAUUUUCGUUCUCCCGUUUCAGAUUUUUUUAUUUUUUUCUUUUUUUAUAUACAUCUACAAACAAAGAAACGAUUUAAAAGGGAAAGAAAAAGAAAGGAGUACUUGAGCCGUUCCGUUUGCGCCGUCGCCGGAGUUCAUUUUUAGGUUACCGAAAUCGGACCAUGAAGGCGACGUUUGGGGCUUCGCUCCUUGGCCCUACGGCUCUAAAGCCCG